CAGCCCGCCCGCACCCGGCCGGGCAGGGACAGCGCCCGGGAACACAUACGGAUGGGAGGGGCGCUGGAUUUUCCACCCCUUUUUCUGAUGUUGCUCCGAUGUGCUGAUUUUCAAGUGCUUCUUAAAGCAAAGAAGAAACCCUAAAAAAAAUCCAGAGAAAUGAAAUUGCUGCCUUGAGCCAUGUUUUGAACUACAAACUAUUGCCAUUUGAACCAAGAAAAGCUUUAAAACUCACACUGCAAGACUUCUUCAGCAGCUACAAAAUCCCCCUCCAAGCCUCCAAAUCAGCUUCUGAUGGGAACAUUUUGGUUUUGAGGUUGCCCCCACAGGUAUUGACCUUUGAAGUCAAUCACUGCUGAGUUUCUUGUGUGUUGAUCUUACCUGAGUACAACCAUAGGUCCCUAAAAAGUACUUAUAAGAAAUAUGAGUGUGCCUAAAAUGUUAGUUAGCCAUGACCACACACGCGAAACAGCCCUGAGUGUAAAGAGCUGACAGAUUAAUCUUGCUAACAAAGAAAAGGUAAACAAAUCUUUACCUUUCAGCUUUUUGUAAACAAACAGAGAAAACCAAUAGAGAUUUCUUUUGUUCUGUAAUUUUAUGUGUGCCAGUGCCAUGCCUUUCCCAGUUCAUUUGUUGUGAUUUAUAUUUUCAGAAAGCAUAUGUUGUGUUG